UAUCUCUGUAGAGUCUGCAUAUCAAUAAGCGGAGGAAAAGAAACUAACUAGGAUUCCCUCAGUAACGGCGAGUGAAGCGUGAAGAGCUCAAAUUUGAAAUCUUCAAGGUUUUACCUUGACGAAUUGUAGUUUAAAGAAGUGUUUUCUGUUGGAGUCUUGGUAAAAGUUCUUUGGAAUAGGACAUCAUAGAGGGUGAGAAUCCCGUAUUUGACCAUUAUUUCCAGCUUUGUGAUACACUUUCAAAGAGUCGGAUUGUUUGGGAAUGCAGUUCAAAAUGGGUGGUAAAUUUCAUCUAAAGCUAAAUAUUGGCGAGAGACCGAUAGCGAACAAGUACCGUGAGGGAAAGAUGAAAAGAACUUUGAAAAGAGAGUUAAACAGUACGUGAAAUUGUCAAAAGGGAAGCGUUUGACACCAGUGUUGUUUCUACGAAAAUCAAUUUAUGAUGGCUUGAUGCUAAGCUUUAAGACUUUAUCCGCUUGUUGUUUAGUUUUCUUGUCUUUGUGAAUGCACUUUUCGUGGAACAAGUCAACAUCAAUUUCUUUUGCUGUAAAAGGGUAAGAGGAAGGUGGCUUCGGCUUCGGUUGAAGUGUUUAUAGCCUUUUAUCUCUGCAGUCGGAGAGAUUGAGGUCUGCAGCGUAGACUCUUCGGGGUUAGAUACGUCGGUGCUAAGCUAUAGCUUUUCAUAGACAACUUGUUGACUAUGUUUAGUCAUGUGGCUUACCCUGCUGGCGCUAUUUUACCUACGCUUAGGAUGUUGAGUCAUCACACAUCUCU
rnacentral:rRNA from 1 species